UGCAAAAUUAACUGACACAAGUAUGUUUAUAUAGCUAAUUGAUCUUUUCGUUGUUUUUGCUGUGACGUGUGAUUUUAACAUGCAUCUUGUGUAUCGCUGUCAACUCUGGGCCAGAGUCUGGCACUUCAGAUUCGCCACAGUUGCAUUAUGUAAUCUAGUGGGAAGACAUUUUAAAAUUCAGAGCCAUUAUUAGAACUAAAUUGGAUAGUUAUAUAUAUGGCAACACUGAAUGUCAAUACACAGCCUGUUGAAUUAGCGGCAACACGCUUCGUAGCCAUUACGAUGACAACAAACAUUACAAUAACACGUCAUUUUAUAAACUCCAUGUGCUUUUUUAACAAUAUAAAUAUCCCACAAGUCUUACUUCGGUAAAGGUUAAACAGUCAGGACAAUUCGGCCUGUUACAUUCUCGGAAACCAAAAGUAGUCGACAUUUUCUGAAUGAGAAUGAGUUACUUCCCUUAUGUUAUUUUGGCAAAAAGGAAUCGAUUUUUUUUUUAUGCUUACAAAAAUGUCAUUUAACAGGAGAAAUUGUCUCCCACAAAGCAGGAUGGAGAUUUGAUCAAAUACCGGGAGACUCCUGCGUAAUCCGGGAGGGUUAACAGGUCUGCCUAAGGGACACAUUUUUCGUCUUUUAUAUAUUAAAUGAAUAUUUAAAUACUGUUUUAUGUUAUUGUUACUUGACUAAAUUUUGUUCGUUGUAUAUUGCAAUAUAUUUUAAUUGUUAAUAUUCUUUUAAAUAGUCUCUCAUAACUCCAUAUGGAGUGGCUCAGUUGUGGUUUUUAUUAGUAAUGUAUUACUGAGGUGAGACUCUUAAAUAAUUUGUCUGUCUGUCUGCAUUAUGUUCCAAGUUGAAAAACAGGUCCAGAUUAUAUAGUUUUUUUUUUGUUAAGGAAGUUAAUGUAUUUUUGUGUUUUGUCUAAAUAACUAAUUUGUGGUUUUAAUAUAUAUCUGUAUAGGAAUAUCACGAACAGCAUACAAGGAAGCAGUGAAGAAUGGGACCGAUAUUGAUUGGAAAUGUCAAGUACAUGUAUGUUUACAACAAACACCACACGGUCGUUCUCAACCAGCACCGCCAGGUCUUUGUCUACCGCCAGGUCUUUUUCCAUCAUCAACAGCAUUGAGGAACACAACGCCGUCAUCGAUUGAGUAGGCAGCUUUGUUUUUUAUUUAUUGAGGUUGGCAUCGGCGAAUCAAUAAUAAAGUCGGGGACCAGCCACUAGGUAUAUACCGACUGAUACCAGAAUUAUACACGGAAGCGUCCAUGCUGCCAAUUCAAAUGAGACUGGUACAGGAGGGAAGAUUGCGGACGUAUAUAAGGGAGACGGCAACCCAGCAUCAGAGGCAUGUAUUUGAGGCAUGGCAGGCCUUCAAAGAUGGCGAAAUCACAUCGAUUCAGCUGCUUUCAAGCUGUUCUGAUGUCCAUGGCCCAGUCCAUUUUGAUUAAAAAUUUGCAGUACAUUUGGUGUCAAAGUGUCACAUCACUAUUAAACAAAUAAAAUGUUUUAAUCUUG